GGAGUGCUAUAUGGAUAAGAUGUGCUCGAUAAGAGUUUUCCAAAUCACAUUUGAUGAAGAAAUUCAAAGGGUUGGCACAGACAGCUCUGUUCUCCAAUAUCUCAUCACUGAUGCUUUUCUCCAGGCCCUGCUGCUUUAAAACAGAACUGCUUGGAUAAAAGGAAACUCCUUAAACAGAAUGAGAACAAACAAGAAAGG